CCAAAAUGUGAUUUGUUCCCAUAUUUUGGGUAAUUUUAAGAUGUUAAAAAAAAAGGAUUCUGACUGAGAAAUACAACACCACACAGCUGUGAAUUAUCAAGCUAAGGUUCAAAUCUAGAUCUUGUCUGGCUUCUCAGCCUGUGUUUUAUUCUAUGCAAUUUUUCUUCAGUAUAUUUACCUGUUAGACUAUUCCACCUUCUAGGAAAUAAAAUCUUAUUUUUUUGGAUUAUAGUCUUGGAACUGGGACCCCAUCACAUACCUGCCAUUUCUUGGAUGACGUGUCUACAUUUCAGAGGCUCACCUUUUUCUGGAAUUCUCAUUACCAUUGACUUCCCUCUAGCCCAUAAUGAAGCUCCCAGAGUUGACCAAUGGUCUGAACUAGGAGCUGGUAUCUGUCCCAAGACCUCAGAUAUUCACCUCUUAUCAAUGGACCUGACCUCCCAGCCACUAUGCCAGGAAUGA
rnacentral:lncRNA from 1 species